AUAAGAAUCACCAGGGGAAUCUUUUUUAAAAACAUAGAUUCUGAUUCAAUAGAUCAGGGAUACUGAGAUUCUGUGUUUUUAACUAGAUUCAAAGUUAUGCCUAU
rnacentral:pre_miRNA from 1 species